AGUGACUUCCGGCCAUGCGGGGCCUCUACCGCUGCCAUCGCGGUCCCGGUCUCCUGAAGUGGAACCCGGCUUGGAGUCGAGCGCGACCCCUCGCCCGUGGGCGCAGGCGAUCGAGUAAGGGUGGGGCGGGCCUCAAACCCGGAUCAGAACCCGCCCUGACCGGCGCAGAGAUACGGGACGCAGCCUAAGCAAGGCCCGGGAAGAAGUUGGGUUUCCCUGCCAUCCUUCCUGCCCCAGCCCCUCAUCCUCAACUCACCAUCAACCCUUCCACGAUCCCAAAUCGCUCGUGGAUGACUUUGGCGAGGGGAGCCAAACAGUUGGUGGUGCAGGACGCGUUGCUGAAACAGCCAAGGUGUGCACGGACACUGUGAGGUGGUGACCUCCCCAACUCAGCCCUCAACCUCCUCAGAGGCGCCAAUGCUGACUGCUGUCAGCCAGCCCAGACCCUUUCUCCAUAUGCUGCCCGGGACGUGGACUCUGUGACUGU
rnacentral:lncRNA from 1 species